GGGUGUUUAGCCUAGUGGUUAAGCUGCCAUUUUAGAGAAGAUUAGCAUGUCCCCUGCGCAAGGAUGGCACACAAAUUCAUGAAGCAUUCCAUAUUUUU
ensembl:snRNA U6 U6 spliceosomal RNA